AUCCUCAAGAUUUUCCUUUUUCCUCAGAUCUACAUAUUGGUCUGAGUGGCUAGAAAAGAAGGCAACGUAAAACUGAAGUGGACUUGGAAUCUUUAGGGACAUACAAGUUCAUUUCACACACAC
rnacentral:snoRNA from 1 species